rnacentral:rRNA from 1 species
GCGUCUGAUUAGCUUGUUGGCGGGGUAACGGCCCACCAAGGCUACGAUCAGUAGGGGUUCUGAGAGGAAGGUCCCCCACAUUGGAACUGAGACACGGUCCAAACUCCUACGGGAGGCAGCAGUGAGGAAUAUUGGUCAAUGGACGAGAGUCUGAACCAGCCAAGUAGCGUGCAGGAUGACGGCCCUAUGGGUUGUAAACUGCUUUUAUAAGGGAAUAAAGUGAGUCUCGUGAGACUUUUUGCAUAUACCUUAUGAAUAAGGACCGGCUAAUUCCGUGCCAGCAGCCGCGGUAAUACGGAAGGUCCGGGCGUUAUCCGGAUUUAUUGGGUUUAAAGGGAGCGUAGGCCGGAGAUUAAGCGUGUUGUGAAAUGUAGAUGCUCAACAUCUGAACUGCAGCGCGAACUGGUUUCCUUGAGUACGCACAAAGUGGGCGGAAUUCGUGGUGUAGCGGUGAAAUGCUUAGAUAUCACGAAGAACUCCGAUUGCGAAGGCAGCUCACUGGAGCGCAACUGACGCUGAAGCUCGAAAGUGCGGGUAUCGAACAGGAUUAGAUACCCUGGUAGUCCGCACGGUAAACGAUGGAUGCCCGCUGUUGGUCUGAAUAGGUCAGCGGCCAAGCGAAAGCAUUAAGCAUCCCACCUGGGG